CCUACGGGAGGCAGCAGUGAGGAAUAUUGGACAAUGGGCGCAAGCCUGAUCCAGCCAUGCCGCGUGCAGGAUGACGGUCCUAUGGAUUGUAAACUGCUUUUAUACGAGAAGAAACACCCCUACGUGUAGGGACUUGACGGUAUCGUAAGAAUAAGGAUCGGCUAACUCCGUGCCAGCAGCCGCGGUAAUACGGAGGAUCCAAGCGUUAUCCGGAAUCAUUGGGUUUAAAGGGUCCGUAGGCGGUUUAGUAAGUCAGUGGUGAAAUCUCCCCGCUCAACGGGGAAACGGCCAUUGAUACUGCUAGACUUGAAUUAUUAGGAAGUAACUAGAAUAUGUAGUGUAGCGGUGAAAUGCUUAGAGAUUACAUGGAAUACCAAUUGCGAAGGCAGGUUACUACUAAUGGAUUGACGCUGAUGGACGAAAGCGUGGGUAGCGAACAGGAUUAGAUACCCUGGUAGUCCACGCCGUAAACGAUGGAUACUAGCUGUUGGGUGCAAACUCAGUGGCUAAGCGAAAGUGAUAAGUGUCCCACCUGGGGGAUACGUUCGCAAGAANAGAACACAANAGAUAGUAGCGNGAGAGNGCGAGACGACGACGAGGAGGAGG
rnacentral:rRNA from 1 species